GACAAACUAGCUGAGAUGUUCAUUGAGGUGAGCCACAAAAAGUUCAUGCUGGAGAAGCAGGAGUCCGAUAGGAGUUUUCAAGAAAUGAUGGCUAGGAGCCUCUAGAUUGCCUUGUGAAUUGAGGUCUGCAGUUUCUUUAUCUUUUUUUCUUUUUCUUUUUCUUUUUCUUUUUUUUCUGUUGAGUUGGCUUUUGUGGAGAGAGCUUGUAUAAAUACCAUGA
rnacentral:lncRNA from 1 species